rnacentral:lncRNA from 1 species
UUUCUAUACUUUAUUUUAUCAGAAGAUUCCAUUUAAUGAAGAAGUACUUACAAGACGAAGACUCGACGAACAAAUCAAUUUCCUAAUGUUUAUUUGACAAAGAAUAUUUGAUUUAACUAGAUACAGAUGAACCAGACAGUACAUCUGUGUAUCAGUUAUUCAAAUUAAAUAUUUGAAGUCAAGCAGAGUUGGUGGUUCGUUCGUUCGACUGAUCAAGACGGAG